rnacentral:sRNA from 1 species
AAGCGAGGCUGAAGGCGGUUCCCCCCCACCCCUUCAGCACUUCCGGUGAGUCACCUUCAGAAGACCCGCGGCCCGACCCUCCCCUGUGGAGUGUCGGGCCGCCUUCUUUU